rnacentral:rRNA from 1 species
UACGUAGGGUGCAAGCGUUGUCCGGAAUUAUUGGGCGUAAAGAGCUCGUAGGUGGCCUGUCGCGUCGGCUGUGAAAACUCGGGGCUCAACUCCGAGCUUGCAGUCGAUACGGGCAGGCUAGAGUUCGGCAGGGGAGACUGGAAUUCCUGGUGUAGCGGUGAAAUGCGUAGAUAUCAGGAGGAACACCUGUGGCGAAAGCGGCUCACUGGACCAUAACUGACGCUGAGGAGCGAAAGCGUGGGGAGCGAACAGG